rnacentral:rRNA from 1 species
AAAACUUUCAACAACGGAUCUCUUGGUUCUGGCAUCGAUGAAGAACGCAGCGAAAUGCGAUAAGUAAUGUGAAUUGCAGAAUUCAGUGAAUCAUCGAAUCUUUGAACGCACAUUGCGCCCUCUGGUACUCCGGGGGGCAUGCCUGUUCGAGCGUCAUUG